CUUACGACGAAAAAAAAAUAACAGGAUCCCCUAGUAACUGCGAGUGAAGCGGGAAAAGCUCAAAUUUAAAAUCUGGCAGUCUUUGGCUGUCCGAGUUGUAAUCUAGAGAAGUGUUAUCCGCGCUGGACCGUGUACAAGUCUCCUGGAAUGGAGCGUCAUAGAGGGUGAGAAUCCCGUCUUUGACACGGACUGCCAGGGCUUUGUGAUGCGCUCUCAAAGAGUCGAGUUGUUUGGGAAUGCAGCUCAAAAUGGGUGGUAAAUUCCAUCUAAAGCUAAAUAUUGGCGAGAGACCGAUAGCGAACAAGUACCGUGAGGGAAAGAUGAAAAGAACUUUGGAAAGAGAGUUAAACAGUACGUGAAAUUGCUGAAAGGGAAACGCUUGAAGUCAGUCGCAUUGGCUGAGAAUCAACCUUGCUUUUGCUGGGCGUACUUCUUAGUUAAUGGGUCAGCAUCAAUUUUGACUGUUGGAUAAAGUCUGAAGGAAUGUGGCAUCUUCGGAUGUGUUAUAGCCUUUAGUUGCAUACAACAGUUGGGAUUGAGGAACUCAGCACGCCGCAAGGCCGGGUACUUGUACCACGUUCGUGCUUAGGAUGCUGGCAUAAUGGCUUUAAUCGACCCGUCUUGAAACACGGACCAAGGAGUCUAACAUGCCUGCGAGUAUUUGGGUGGAAAACCCGAGUGCGUAAUGAAAGUGAAAGUUGAGAUCCUUGUCAUGGGGAGCAUCGACGCCCGGACCAGACCUUUUGUGACGGAUCUGCGGUAGAGCAUGUAUGUUGGGGACCCGAAAGAUGGUGAACUAUGCCUGAAUAGGGUGAAGCCAGAGGAAACUCUGGUGGAGCUCGUAGCGAUUCUGACGUGCAAAUCGAUCGUCAAAUUGGGUAUUAGGGGCGAAAGACUAAUCGAACCAUCUAGUAGCUGUUCCUGCCGGAGUUCCCUCAGGAAA
rnacentral:rRNA from 1 species